UACGUAGGGUCCGAGCGUUGUCCGGAAUUACUGGGCGCAAAGAGCUCGUAGGUGGUUUGUCGCGUUGUUCGUGAAAACUCACAGCUUAACUGUGGGCGUGCGGGCGAUACGGGCAGACUUGAGUACUGCAGGGGAGACUGGAAUUCCUGGUGUAGCGGUGGAAUGCGCAGAUAUCAGGAGGAACACCGGUGGCGAAGGCGGGUCUCUGGGCAGUAACUGACGCUGAGGAGCGAAAGCGUGGGGAGCGAACAGG
rnacentral:rRNA from 1 species